AGCGAACGCUGGCGGCAGGCCUAACACAUGCAAGUCGAACGAACUCUUCGGAGUUAGUGGCGGACGGGUGAGUAACACGUGGGAACGUGCCCUUUGGUACGGAAUAACUCAGGGAAACUUGAGCUAAUACCGUAUGUGCCCUUCGGGGGAAAGAUUUAUCGCCAUUGGAGCGGCCCGCGUCUGAUUAGCUAGUUGGUGAGGUAAAGGCUCACCAAGGCUACGAUCAGUAGCUGGUCUGAGAGGAUGAUCAGCCACAUUGGGACUGAGACACGGCCCAAACUCCUACGGGAAGCAGCAGUGGGGAAUCUUGCGCAAUGGGCGAAAGCCUGACGCAGCCAUGCCGCGUGAAUGAUGAAGGUCUUAGGAUUGUAAAAUUCUUUCACCGGGGACGAUAAUGACGGUACCCGGAGAAGAAGCCCCGGCUAACUUCGUG
rnacentral:rRNA from 1 species